rnacentral:ncRNA from 1 species
CUUCGGGGGGCCGGAUGCAUCCGGCUGAGAUUGGACUGACGCAGCCCUGACCCGUGAACCUGAUACGGUUAGUACCGUCGUAGGGAAAGA